rnacentral:lncRNA from 1 species
CAACAAGGUUGGAAUGAUGUUGAAGGGUUGGUUAUUUGGAGGAAUGGAUGGGAAGGGGUUUAGAUAUGUAGGAAAGGCAAGGAAAGGCUUGGAGAAUGGUUAAUUUCUGGAUGAUUUGAAUGAGGUUGCUGCCAUGGUAUUUAUAGGAAGAGGAUGGACAUGUUUAAUGCAAAAAUCUGGUGGAAUGAAGUAGGUAAGGCAUGGCAAGGUAGAGAAUUGUUGGUGAGGGUAGGUUUUGAGUCAUCCACUCACAUGUCAUGGUGAGUUAAGCAUUGCAUCAUCCACUCAAAUGUCAUGGUGAGUUAGGCAUUGCAUCAUCACUAAAAAAAAUCUGGUGGAAGUAAAACAAAGGGAAGGCCACGGCAUUGAUGAAUUUUAUGGGGUAUGCAUGGUUU